GACGAACGCUGGCGGCGUGCUUAACACAUGCAAGUCGAACGCUGAAGCUUGGUGCUUGCACUGGGUGGAUGAGUGGCGAACGGGUGAGUAAUACGUGAGUAACCUGCCCUUGACUCUGGGAUAAGCCUGGGAAACUGGGUCUAAUACUGGAUACGACAUGCCACUGCAUGGUGGUGUGUGGAAAGGGUUUUACUGGUUUUGGAUGGGCUCACGGCCUAUCAGCUUGUUGGUGGGGUAAUGGCCUACCAAGGCGACGACGGGUAGCCGGCCUGAGAGGGUGACCGGCCACACUGGGACUGAGACACGGCCCAGACUCCUAUGGGAGGCAGCAGUGGGGAAUAUUGCACAAUGGGCGGAAGCCUGAUGCAGCGACGCCGCGUGAGGGAUGACGGCCUUCGGGUUGUAAACCUCUUUCAGCACGGAAGAAGCGAGAGUGACGGUACGUGCAGAAGAAGCGCCGGCUAACUACGUG
rnacentral:rRNA from 1 species